rnacentral:tRNA from 1 species
GCAGUAGUGGCGCAAUUGGUAUACGCGCAUGUUUCAGGUACAUGUGGAGCAAUCCGUGUGGGUUCGAGUCCCAUCUACUGCA